GAAAAGUUAGUUCAUAUUUGAUGAACAAAACCCGCAAAAAAUUGAAGCCAGAGCUGCGGCCAUUAUCACUGAUAUUGGGAGAGUUCAAGUCGCUUCAAUCGAUGAGAAAAGCGAGAUACAGCAAUUGAUCCAAUUCUUCCUAAUUGUCUAGUCAAACGAGAAGAAAACAACUAAGGAUGAAAAGCAAUAGUCAAAAAGUCAAGCUAGCUACAAGACGAAAAGACUAAGAAGAGAGUCAGUGCUCUUCCUCUGCAAUUCCCAUAUUUCCUAUCUAAGUGCUUCCUCUCCUGAGCGGCGUCCGCCGCACCAGAGAAAAGAAGACCUUGAGGUUUGCUUUCUUUUUCCUUUUUCUAGUUGCUGCCUUCGGUCAAAAUUACCAAAAAGGUCUUGCACCUCCUUGUUCCAAGAAUGCCCUUGAUUGCCUGCUAUUUGGACUCUUUCCUGAUAAGUGUCAAACUGGCACUUAUUAUGGUAUUUUCGUUCUACUCCCUGAAAUAUAUGCCAAAUACUAAAAGUGAGUAGAAUCUAGCAAUUAAUUCACAUCAGAUCAGGUAAUAGGGGAAAUUAAUUAUAAAAUAAAUGAUAAAAUUGCAACCUAUCAAUUUCCCCCACACCUAAACCAUGCUUGUCCUCAAGCAUAAGAAAAGUACACAGACACCAAAAUUUGAUAAUGGUCAUUGCUCUAUCCACUAAAUUGCCAAGAUACCAAGAAAAAUAAUAAUCAAGCAUCAAUGGUCAAGUCCAAGAAACAUCACCUCGGUUAGCUUCUAAACCACAAACUCCUCUAAUUUCAUGUUAACUAAUCUAAGAAAAAGGAAUAACGCAUAACAUUUAUCAGCAAAUGGUCCAACUAUUAACCAAAAUCUCAACAUUAAAUCCAUAAUUCGGCAAGCUGAUUUUUAUUACACACUAACACAACCUUCACUUUUUUUUCACAUUUUUUUCUACUUUUCUCUCUCUUUUUUUUUUUUGAAUAGUAACAAAAGACUUAGUCGCUAGCCAUUAGAGCCUUUUGACGCGAACUCCAACAUUGGCCAUAUGAAGGAGCCCGGUUACUCAGCUUCUAUCGCCACGUGACCACGUACUCAUAGCAAUUACUACCUUUUGACGCGAGAAUCAACACUUUUAGGUGCAGAUCCCCGGUUACUCAGUAGUAACUAAUAGCGGAGUACAGUCAAGUUUAUUCAUAGCUAAAAAUCACAAAAACUCAAUAUAACACAAGAACCAAAAGAAAACUUGCAUCAGCUAGCCUCAUUUUCAAACAUGGAGAACUAAAGUUAAUAAUCGGACCAAUUCACAUGAAAAUGCCAAUAAUCAUUCCCUAUGCCUAGGAAAGUUAACCAAAAAUUAUAAGAGUAAAACAAUCAUCGAUAUUCACCAAAGAGAUGUUUUUGGAUUCAACCACAUUAACUUGAUACCCUUUUAUUAUUAAAAUUGGCAAUAGUAGAAAUAGAGGUAAUAAUCCAACAUCAAACCUUGGCAUGCACUUACGAGCCAAUCACUAAAAAGAAAAAAAAAUGAAUGAAAGACACUAGCACCAUAACUGCUCCCCCCACACCUAAAUCCUACAUUGUCCUCAAUGGAGGUAAUAAAGUAAUGAAAGCGAAGAGAACAAUGAAACUUCCCUGUUGAACAGCUAAGGGAUAGGAGGGAACAGUGGAGGGAAGCCGAGUUCUGAGAUAUCCUUGCCACUUGGCGGGUGAUGUUCGUCACUCGCUCAUCUACGUUGUGAAUCUGAGCCCGCAAGUGGUGCGACUUACAUCAGAGGCCAUCGAUGGGGGAGGCGCAGAAGAAGAGGGCUCGGGUUUUACCAUUUUCUCCAAAUGUCAUUUCAAUCAACAAGAGACAAAAAUUGCCCACAGGUAAUGUAAACAGCAAAUUCAAAGCAAUAAUAAUUUAAUAGCCACCGGUGCCUCCCUAGUAGACAACCCAAUCAACAAAAUGCACAACCCAGGCACCCGGAGACAAGACAAAUAUCCCAACAAUACAGCAAUUUCAAUCAAUACUCACGGGUGGCCCCAAUUGGGUCAAAUGCAGGCAGUCCAAAAUCGCAACAAAUGCUCUAAAGAUUUAGCAAUUGAAAUCAAUAGGUAAAAUACUCCCAGCAAGUCAAUUAGACGCCACCAACAGCAAUAAGCAAUGGAAGUGGCACAGUAGCCUUCCAAUUCAACAAACAAAUGCAGAAAAUACCCAACCAAAGGCACUUCAAGGGACGCAAGACAGAAAUCAGCCAAGUAGAACCCAAGUGAUACCAAAAAUAACCUUAACAAAGCAGUGAAUUCAACCAAUUUGAAUACGUAGAAUACGGUUAGAAAUGCCUCCCAAAGAUCAACAGAGAGCGGCAAAACUUGCCCACCCAAAAUCUGUCCAAAUGGCUCCAAUUGGACAAGAAAUUGCACAACUCGAACGAUCAAAACUUAGCAAUUGGGCCAAGCAACAGGCAAUGGCAACAACCAAUGGUUAGAAUUCGAGAACAGUUCAGGCACCAAAACCCAAGAAUCAAAUAGGCAGGCCAGUACAGAGGAUUAAGAAAUGGAAAGCAACACUGCAACCAGUACCACUGGUGCACAGACAGGAAAGAAUUAAAUUCAACGGCAGCAACUCAACCGCAAGAACUUAAACUGGAAAAUUAAUCAACCAGUACCACUGGUGAGUCACAGGGAAAAAUAAUCAAGCGGCCAAUAAUUCAAUAAAUAACAGAAAAUACCCCCACUAUGGCAGCAAUUAAACCCAAUUCUGUCCAAAAAUCACCCCCAGAAUAUGCCUAAAUCACCCCUGCUAUUAGCUAUAAAGAAACUCAAACUCAGGGUGGACUGGAACGACUCAACCAAAAACGCCCAAUAGGCACAACUCGCUUAAUUAGGCAAUCCAGAACACAGGAUUAUCAGAUAUUAAACAACUACCAUCACCAGUACCACUGGUGAGUGCAUAGGGAGAAAUUAAAGCAAAUAACCAAUCCAGUGCACAAAAUAGAUUCGAACACCCAAACAGCGCCAAAAAUGAACGGAAAUUAAAGCCAGAAGCAAUGGUCAACUAACUCCCAAAGUACCCCAAAUAUCGCAGCAGUUUAACUCAACUCUACCCAAAAUUAGACCAGAAAAUGCCCAAAAUUACUGCCCGCUGUUUUCCAACAAGAAGCCCAAGCAAAGGUGCAAAAUUUUCGCAAUUUAGGGUUCAGAAUAAGACAAAUUGAGGCAGGAAUCGCAAUACCUCCACCUGCCAACAAUUGACAGGUGGUAACGAGCUAGGGUGGAGCUGGCGGAGAUGAGAGCUCACGAGCUGGUGGUGGGCUGGUGGACUUCGUCGACGAGCUGCAGGGGGGUGGGGCAGCGGCGAGUGGCGAGAGCGAGCAGCGGCGUCUGCUGGGAAGAGGCGCGAGGUGGGUGCUGCCUCUGGUGCUGCUGGAGGCGGAUGAGCUGGGUGGAGCGGCGAGGUUGGAGGCGGACCGAGGAGCUGUGGAGGACGCCAGGGGGAAAAGGAGGUAGAUGCGGCGGUCGUAGCUGGAGUGGAAGCAUCGAGGGUCGGCGAGGUGCGAAGUGGAUGGCCGGCUGGUCCAUUGCGCGAGACGCGAGGUGGCGGCCUUAAGGAGGUGGGCGGCGCUGGACGCUCGGCUGCUGGACACGGCUGGCGGCAAAUCGAAGGGAGGAGUAGCGGAGCUGGUGGUGGUGGCGUGCGUGAUGUGGGAUGCGGCGUGAGUGGGCGGCGGGCAAGGGAAUUCGGGCAACAGAGAGGGAACAGAGGAGGAAGAAAAGAAGAAGGAGGAAGAAGAAAGAAAGAAAAAAAAAGAAAGAAAAAGAAAGAAAAGAAAAGAAAGAGUUUUUUUUUUUUUAGAUUGAGAAACCUAGCUACGGUUGAAAAAAUUUUUCUUCUUCUUUUUUUUUUUUUGGUUUUUUUUUCCUCUGCGGAAAUCAAUUUUUUUUUUAAAUUUUUUUUUUGAAUUUUGGAAAUUAAAGCUACAGUAAUAAGAAAUUUUUUUUUUUUUUUAAAAUCCUUACCUUUCCCGCGAACGUGACGCGGGCGCGUCAAGAGGUCAAGAGAGCUCCCAGAAGUUGCAGAAAUUCCUGAUCGUGAGCGUCCUGCACAUCACCACGCGGGCGCGUCAUGACUGAAGGUCACCUACAAAUCAGCAAAAACGAAAAUUAACACCCAAAAUCAGUCAAAUUCAAGGAAGACAGAUUUAAACUAACAAAUAAAAUCAAACAAACAACUAAAAGAAAUUGGGUUGCCUCCCAAUGAGCGCCUUUCUUUAAUGUCUUUGGCUAGACAUUAUCAUGUUUUGCUCAUGGAGGAUAAAAUCUUGUGGCUCGCUUCAAUGCUUCAUCUUCAACGUGAUCCUGGUAACCCUCAUAGAUGGAGUAAUUCUUGGGCACACGAGUUACGGGCUUCCAUGGACUAGUAAAUGGCGCUAAACAAGUCAACAAUGAUUUGCAUUCUCCACUCACUCCUCCAUCACACGCAUUCAUUGGUUCAAGAUAUUUUUCCAUUGCCACUCUUAACUUAUUCCUGUCAUGAAAUUUCAAAUUUUCUGGUAUAAUAAAAUCAAUUUCAGUAACAGGAAUUGAAGAAGAUGAAUUAGGAAAAUAUUGAUUAAGGAGUGGAGAAGAUGUCACCGCAUUUGGAAAUUGUUCACUGGAUUCAUUCACUUGAAUAAUUUGAUGUUGGAGUCCCAUGUCUUCCGCUUCAACUUCCUUUUCAACUGUAUCUUUGGAUCCUCUUUCUUGAGACUCUUGCAGUUCCAUAUCACUUGUCAGGAUAAUUGCACUCUCACCUUUCUUAGAGUCAUUGAUGGUCUGUGAGGGCAAGUCUGACAUGAAUGACGAUUGUUGAGACUCUUGCAGCUGAAAACUCAUUGGCCCCUCUUCAUAAUUAACGUUAGAGUUAUCCCACCAUCCUUGAUCAUAUCGGUUUGAAUAAGGGUCAUACCACGUUUGAGAUCGAGGUGAAGAAUCUCCAAAUUUUUUUUUGAGAUAGUCACUCAGGUAGUCUUGAUAUUCGGGGCACAUACCGGUUGAAUGAUCCCUGGCAUAACAAAUUUCACAGGUUGCAGCAGCCAUUCUUUCUCUAACAGAGUUUAGUGCCUCUGCAUAUGCAGACCUCACAAAAAAACUAGCCUCAUUGCCUUCCCCGGAAAUAAAAUCCAGUAUAUCACCAAAAUACGGAGUGUAAGAAGCCAUAAACUAAAUAAAAAAAAUGUAAACAAGAUGAAUUUAAAAAGAAACAAAUAACUAGCGCCAGUCCCCGGCAACGGCGCCAAAAAUUGACAGGUUGUUAGCCUGUGCAAUAAUAAAUACCUGCUCAAACUAAAAAUAAUUUCUGUAGAUAGUGGUGAGCAGGGUCGAAUCCACAGGGACUGGGAGUAAUUGUUUCUUUUCAAGUUCACAGUGACAAGGGGGUGUUUUUGUGCAGACAGUGACAAUCAAAUAAAUUCAAAUAAAAUCUAAGAAACUACUAAAAAUUAAAUAACAAAUUACUAAAAUCUAAUGAGUGAUAAUUAAGGAUCUAGCCAAGGAAUAACUUCAGCAAUGGUUCACCUAAUUGAUCAUCGAUAAGCAAAGGCAAUUCCAAUUAUUUACUAAUAAAUAGGUUAUAACUGCCAAACAAGCGAUGGCAGUCAACCCCUCCUUACUGUGUCGGUGAUCAAGGUACGCCCGUUAAUCACUACUCUAAUUGAGAAAUAAUCUUAGGUACGCCCGUAGAAUUUAAUUCCCCAAUUGCCUUACGUAUUAGAGGAGCCCUAUUCUAAUCAAAUAACGCACUACCAGGGUUAUUUUAGGUUAGCCCGCGUAUUCCCCUGACACAAACCCAAUCAUGCCAGUUAUCACUAUUUUGAGACAGUUAAACAAUUACGGAUUUAACGUCCCAAUUGAUAAUAGAUUAUCAAAUUAACUAAUUAUCCGAAUCCAAAACAAUCAAUUAAUUAAGCAAUCAUAAGCACUGUAACCAGGGAAUAAGCAAAUACCAAUAAAUAAAAGGAAAAGAUUAAAUUAAAUCGAUCUCACAAUUUUUAGGCGAAUCAAAGCCUUCAUUGCUCCUUGACUAGAAGGGAAAAGUUAGUUCAUAUUUGAUGAACAAAACCCGCAAAAAAUUGAAGCCAGAGCUGCGGCCAUUAUCACUGAUAUUGGGAGAGUUCAAGUCGCUUCAAUCGAUGAGAAAAGCGAGAUACAGCAAUUGAUCCAAUUCUUCCUAAUUGUCUAGUCAAACGAGAAGAAAACAACUAAGGAUGAAAAGCAAUAGUCAAAAAGUCAAGCUAGCUACAAGACGAAAAGACUAAGAAGAGAGUCAGUGCUCUUCCUCUGCAAUUCCCAUAUUUCCUAUCUAAGUGCUUCCUCUCCUGAGCGGCGUCCGCCGCACCAGAGAAAAGAAGACCUUGAGGUUUGCUUUCUUUUUCCUUUUUCUAGUUGCUGUCUUCGGUCAAAAUUACCAAAAAGGUCUUGCACCUCCUUGUUCCAAGAAUGCCCUUGAUUGCCUGCUAUUUGGACUCUUUCCUGAUAAGUGUCAAACUGGCACUUAUUAUGGUAUUUUCGUUCUACUCCCUGAAAUAUAUGCCAAAUACUAAAAGUGAGUAGAAUCUAGCAAUU
rnacentral:lncRNA from 1 species